GAUGAACGCUGGCGGCGUGCCUAAUACAUGCAAGUAGAACGCUGAAGCUUGGUGCUUGCACCGAGCGGAUGAGUUGCGAACGGGUGAGUAACGCGUAGGUAACCUGCCUCUUAGCGGGGGAUAACUAUUGGAAACGAUAGCUAAUACCGCAUAAAAGACGAUAUCGCAUGAUAUUGAUUUGAAAGGUGCAAUUGCAUCACUAAGAGAUGGACCUGCGUUGUAUUAGCUAGUUGGUGAGGUAACGGCUCACCAAGGCAACGAUACAUAGCCGACCUGAGAGGGUGAUCAGCCACACUGGGACUGAGACACGGCCCAGACUCCUACGGGAGGCAGCAGUAGGGAAUCUUCGGCAAUGGGGGCAACCCUGACCGAGCAACGCCGCGUGAGUGAAGAAGGUUUUCGGAUCGUAGAGCUCUGUUGUAAGAGAAGAACGAGUGUGAGAGUGGAAAGUUCACACUG
rnacentral:rRNA from 1 species